GGGGAAUAUUGGACAAUGGGCGAAAGCCUGAUCCAGCAAUGCCGCGUGUGUGAAGAAGGCCUUCGGGUUGUAAAGCACUUUAGUCAGGGAAGAAAAAGCUCAAACUAAUAUUUUGAGUGUUGACGGUACCUGAAGAAUAAGCACCGGCUAACUCUGUGCCAGCAGCCGCGGUAAUACAGAGGGUGCAAGCGUUAAUCGGAUUUACUGGGCGUAAAGCGUGUGUAGGUGGUUGUUCAAGUCGGUUGUGAAAUCCCCGGGCUCAACCUGGGAAUUGCUUCCGAGACUGAGCGACUAGAGUACGGUAGAGGGCGGUGGAAUUUCCGGUGUAGCGGUGAAAUGCGUAGAUAUCGGAAGGAACACCAAUGGCGAAGGCAGCCGCCUGGGCCUGUACUGACACUGAGACACGAAAGCGUGGGGAUCAAAC
rnacentral:rRNA from 1 species